rnacentral:rRNA from 1 species
UACGGAGGGAGCUAGCGUUGUUCGGAUUUACUGGGCGUAAAGGGCGCGUAGGCGGCCAGCACAAGUCAGUUGUGAAAUCUCCGAGCUUAACUCGGAAAGGUCAACUGAUACUGUGCGGCUAGAGUGCAGAAGGGGCAACUGGAAUUCUUGGUGUAGCGGUGAAAUGCGUAGAUAUCAAGAGGAACACCUGCGGCGAAGGCGGGUUGCUGGGCUGACACUGACGCUGAGGCGCGAAAGCUAGGGGAGCGAACGGG